rnacentral:rRNA from 1 species
GAUUAGUGGCGAACGGGUGAGUAACACGUGAGCAACGUGCCCAUAACUCUGGGAUAACCUCCGGAAACGGUGGCUAAUACUGGAUAUCUAACACGAUCGCAUGGUCUGUGUUUGGAAAGAUUUUUUGGUUAUGGAUCGGCUCACGGCCUAUCAGCUUGUUGGUGAGGUAAUGGCUCACCAAGGCGACGACGGGUAGCCGGCCUGAGAGGGUGACCGGCCACACUGGGACUGAGACACGGCCCAGACUCCUACGGGAGGCAGCAGUGGGGAAUAUUGCACAAUGGGCGAAAGCCUGAUGCAGCAACGCCGCGUGAGGGAUGACGGCCUUCGGGUUGUAAACCUCUUUUAGUAGGGAAGAAGCGAAAGUGACGGUACCUGCAGAAAAAGCACCGGCUAACUACGUGCCAGCAGCCGCGGUAAUACGUAGGGUGCAAGCGUUGUCCGGAAUUAUUGGGCGUAAAGAGCUCGUAGGCGGUUUGUCGCGUCUGCUGUGAAAUCCCGAGGCUCAACCUCGGGUCUGCAGUGGGUACGGGCAGACUAGAGUGUGGUAGGGGAGAUUGGAAUUCCUGGUGUAGCGGUGGAAUGCGCAGAUAUCAGGAGGAACACCGAUGGCGAAGGCAGAUCUCUGGGCCAUUACUGACGCUGAGGAGCGAAAGCAUGGGGAGCGAACAGGAUUAGAUACCCUGGUAGUCCAUGCCGUAAACGUUGGGCGCUAGAUGUGGGGACCAUUCCACGGUUUCCGUGUCGUAGCUAACGCAUUAAGCGCCCCGCCUGGGGAGUACGGCCGCAAGGCUAAAACUCAAAGGAAUUGACGGGGGCCCGCACAAGCGGCGGAGCAUGCGGAUUAAUUCGAUGCACGCGAAGAACCUUACCAAGGCUUGACAUAUACCGGAAACGUUCAGAAAUGAUCGCCCGCAAGGUCGGUAUACAGGUGGUGCAU